GAUGAACGCUGGCGGCGUGCCUAAUACAUGCAAGUCGAGCGAACAGACGAGGAGCUUGCUCCUCUGACGUUAGCGGCGGACGGGUGAGUAACACGUGGAUAACCUACCUAUAAGACUGGGAUAACUUCGGGAAACCGGAGCUAAUACCGGAUAAUAUAUUGCACCGCAUGGUUCAAUAGUUGAAUACGGUUUUUCUGUCACUUAUAGAUGAAUCCGCGCCCCAUUAGCUAGUUGGUAAGGUAACGGAUUACCAAGGCAACGAUGGGUAGCCGACCUGAGAGGGUGAUCGGCCACACUGGAACUGAGACACGGCCCAGACUCCUACGGGAGGCAGCAGUAGGGAAUCUUACGCAAUGGGCGAGAGCCUGACGGAGCAACGCCGCGUGAGUGAUGAUGGUCUUCGGAUCGGAAAACUAUGUUAUUAGGGAAGAACAAAUGUGUAAGUAACUAUGAACGUCUUGACGGUACCUAAUCAGAAAGCCACGGCUAACUCCGUG
rnacentral:rRNA from 1 species